rnacentral:rRNA from 1 species
UACGUAGGGUGCGAGCGUUGUCCGGAAUUACUGGGCGUAAAGAGCUCGUAGGUGGUUUGUCGCGUUGUCCGUGAAAUUCCCUGGCUUAACCGGGGAACUGCAUCUGAUACUGGAUGGCUUGAGUUCGGGAGAGGGAUGCGGAAUUCCAGGUGUAGCGGUGAAAUGCGUAGAUAUCUGGAGGAACACCGGUGGCGAAGGCGGCAUCCUGGACCGACACUGACGCUGAGGAGCGAAAGCCAGGGGAGCAAACGGG